rnacentral:rRNA from 1 species
GUAGGUGGCAAGCGUUGUCCGGAAUUAUUGGGCGUAAAGCGCGCGCAGGCGGUUCUUUAAGUCUGAUGUGAAAGCCCACGGCUCAACCGUGGAGGGUCAUUGGAAACUGGAGAACUUGAGUACAGAAGAGGAAAGCGGAAUUCCACGUGUAGCGGUGAAAUGCGUAGAGAUGUGGAGGAACACCAGUGGCGAAGGCGGCUUUCUGGUCUGUAACUGACGCUGAGGCGCGAAAGCGUGGGGAGCAAACAGGAUUAGAUACCCUGGUAGUCCACGCCGUAAACGAUGAGUGCUAAGUGUAGGGGGGUUUUCCGCCCCCCUUAGUGCUGCAGCUAACGCAUUAAGCACUCCGCCUGGGAGUACGGCCGCAAGGCUG